rnacentral:rRNA from 1 species
UACGUAGGCAGCGAGCGUUGUUCGGAGUUACUGGGCGUAAAGGGUGUGUAGGCGGUUGUUUAAGUUUGGUGUGAAAUCUCCCGGCUCAACCGGGAGGGUGCGCCGAAUACUGAAUGACUUGGAGUGCGGGAGAGGAAAGUGGAAUUCCUGGUGUAGCGGUGAAAUGCGUAGAUAUCAGGAGGAACACCGGUGGUGUAGACGGCUUUCGGGACCGUAACUGACGCUGAGACACGAAAGCGUGGGUAGCAAACAGG